AGUUCGAUCAUCCUCUGUGCCUCCGUCUAUGCUAUCGUCGAACUUUAUCGUGCCCUCCACACCAUUCCGUCGCUAUUCUAUAUAGCUUUAACCGUUUGGCAGCUCUGACAUGUGGGUCUGGAUAGGAAAAAUGUCGCUCUUGCCCUUUGCAGUCUCUGCUUUGUUUCAGAGAGAGGCCAGGCGGCACCGGUGGACAAGCGGCCAGGCGUGGCGUGGCGGCAAGGCGGCGAGGCGGCGCCGGCAAGGCCGCCGACCUCGCCUACUGGGAGAGCGCGGCGAGGAUGAUCGCCGACUCGUCACGCUCCAGCAAGGUCGUCGUCGAGAAGUCCACCGUCCCCGUCAAGACGGCCGAGGCCAUAGAGAAGAUCCUCGCGCACAACGCCCAUGUCGUCGAGUUCCAGGUGCUCUCCAACCUGGAGUUCCUGGCGGAGGGCACGGCCGUCGCUGACCUGCGUUCUCAUCGGUGGCCGCGACAUCGCCGCCGUGCAGGCGCUGAAGGACGUGUACGCGCAAUGGGUCCCCGUCGACCGGAUCAUCACCACCAACCUCUGGUCGGCGGAGCUGUCCAAGCUCGCCGUGAACGCGUUCUUGGUGCAGAGGGUGUCAUCGGUGAACGCCAUCUCCGCGCUCUGCGAGGCCACCGGCACCGACGUCAUGGAGGUGGCGACCGGCGCUGCGCAGCGGCUGGGCGCAGGUUCAACUGCGGCGGCCGACGCUACCUCCUGCGCGGCGACAGCUUCGGUUGGAACGGCUCGACGGCGAUGCGGAGCUCCGGGAGAAUGGCGACAGCUCAAACGUCUCCAAGAUCUAGCAUGCAUGUGUGUCCACGAGGUUAGUGAGGCCACAGGGAUGGUGUGUGCGCGAGGAAUUGUACAGUGGCUCACCGGAGGAGGCGGAAUCGACGUUUGACGCCGGCGGCCGGAGUUGGAGAAGAUGAUGCCGUUCUCCGUCCAUGGUGCAUCAAUCUUGGGGGUUCUUGAGGGGUUUUGGUCGUGGUGAUGAGACGACGAUGGUGGCGCGGCAGCUCAACUUGGCGUGGUGCAGAUCGACGGGGAGGAAGAUGAUGUCGUGGCGGCGUCGCUCCGGUGCGCGUUCCAGAGCGCCGUGGGCACGACGGCGUUCCAGAGAUUACCUGUUGCCCCUGAAUUUGAACCAGGUCUCGGCGCAUUGCUUAUGGGCGCAGGAGAGGUCGUCCUUGCAGGAGCAGUCGAGGAACAUGCCGGAGCCGGACUCGGCGGCGGCGCUGUCGAGGCCGAGGUAGCAGAUGCGGCAAUUCCUCUCGGACGUGUCCGGGCUGGCCUUGGCGAUCGUCACCACUCACCACCUGCUCGUUGUCGUUCACCAUUGCUCACGCCAAACAAACCUACCAAAAAAACAAUUCGAGAAAAAGGAAAAUAAUCACUCGAAAUUGCUUCUAUACCAAAUCCGGACAAGAGCAAAGAAGGGAGCAAACUUGUUCAAAGGGUAACAAAGUCAUUUUGCUGCACCGUUACCCACCGUUAGGAAAAAAACGGACGGAGUGGUGUGGAGGACGCGAUAAAGUUCGACGAUGGUAUAGAGGGAGGCUCGAACUUUUUAGUGACACAGAGACAGCCACCAUCUUUUUUAAUGGCACACGGGGAAAGACCUCCCCCUGCAAAUCCCUCGCCGCCCCUCCCAUUCCUCUCCGUGCCUCCGCCCCUUCCAAUCCGUCGCUGCCUCUCGCGCUCCGCCCGGUCCGCCAGCCAGCGACGAUCAAGAUCCAUCCGAUGGUACUGAGGAGCCAACCCCUCGACGCUACCGCCGACUUAAGAGGGCUACCGAUGUCUCCACAGUCGUCCCCAUCGCCGUUGCCCCCUCGACCUUCAAGUAGGUAUCCCUUCUCCCCCGUCCUACUGUUACAGUAUCCUUUUUUCUUUUUUUAAUCUUAGACAGAAGGCAGCAUGCUAACCCGGCUUUUGAUUGAAAGCUCAUACAGUUAUAUUGUUGAAGAAAAAAAUGCAUUUUUUUACUGGUCUGUACUUUGUAGGAUUAGAGUGUUUAAUAAUGGUCGACUAGUUUAGCACCCCUUUAUUUUGGAUUGCACCAUCAGAUGGCGGCCUCAAGAUGAUUGAUGAAACAAUACUUUGUUGUUUCUUGUAGAAAUGCAGCUCACUGUGUUCAUUUUACUGUAGAAAGUCUUAAUUUAGUCUAAAAAUUCGGUCGCUUAAACCUUUCUGUCAAGAUCUUGCCUGAUGGAGAACAGGAGAACAAUGCAGUAGAACUGGAGAUAGCAGCAGAGCAGGAGAUAGAAGAGACUUCAAGCGCUACAGCAAAGAAGCCCAUUCGAGCUCGUGUUCCUAACCCUCGCUAUAGUGGGCCAAUGUGGGCCAAGUAACAUCUUUCUUGUAAUAGGGGAAAGAAUUCGCCAGCUGUAAUACUGUUUGGCUGUAAGAGAGAGAGAGAGAGAGAGAGAAGGGAUACGGUAUAAAACACUCAAUGUAUCCGUGACUCGAAUCAUCGAUGAAUUGAAUUGGUGGCGGCUUGGCGGCGGCGGCGCUCGAUCCGGUUGGGUCGAGUCGACGAUAACCUAUCUGUUCUUGUGAUCUGUGAGAGGAAUUGACAAAACUUGGUAUCAGAGCCUACUAUCCCACCCAAUUCUUGAUCCGGCAGCAAAAGGGUUCCGAUUGGGGAUUGGAGAUCGGCUCUUGCAGCUGAAAUCCGCGAAAAGGUAACUUGCCCCUCUCGGUUUGCUGGAUUAGGAACAGGGGAAGUGGAUCCCGUUGCGUCAAACUAGAAAAGCCAAGGUAUCAAACCAAGCAAGCGUUCAAAAUCAUGGAGAACGAGGCCAAGCUGGAUCUGAUCCUGAAGAAGCUGACCGAGACGGACUCCAAGUUGGUGGAUCUGGAGAAGAACUCCCGCGCGGAUAUGCUGAACCUCAAGACAUCAGUGGAUUCGUGGAAGCCACAGCUCGAGAAGAAGGUGACUGAUCUGGCGACCACCGUUGGAAAUCUGCAGCUUCAGUUCGAUCAGCUUCAACUCCUGAACAAGGCGGAGCCGAAGCCUGACCUUACCGCCCAAUUGGGCGCCCGCAAUGCUGCUGAAAUACGGGCGGAGGUGCUUGGGUCUCAUCCCCAAUCACCACCCCCGGCCAAUGGUACGAACUCAAUCUUGUUCUCCACACCUGCUCCUUAUUUCCAUGAUCCAGCCAUGCGAACUGCUUUUACUGGUAGUGCUGUGGGCACAAGCACUGGUUUACCUCCUAUGCCAUGUCCACAAUUUGAUGGAGAUAACCCCCAAAUGUGGAGAGAAAACUGUGAAGCCUACUUUGAUACUUAUGGAGUCAGCCCUGCUCAUUGGGUUAGGAUAGCCACCCUCAAUUUUUCUGGGAAUGCCUCAUUUUGGUUGCAGUCAGUUAGGUCCCAAUUAAUAGGAGUCACUUGGGUAGAACUUUGUGAGAAAGUUUGUGCUAAGUUUUCUAGGGAUAGGCAUCAACAGCUGAUAAGGCAAUACAUACACAUUAGACAGACUGGUAGUGUAACUGAAUAUGUGGAUAAGUUUGAUAGCUUGAUGCACCAAUUGAUUGCUUACGAUAGUGAACUGAAGCCUGUGUACUUCGUCACUAAGUUCGUAGAGGGUUUAAAGGAUGCUAUUCACACUGUAAUUAUGGUGCAACGCCCCCAAGAUCUGGAUACUGCUUGCUCUUUGGCUUUAUUACAGGAGGAGGCAAUGCUGGGAACUCGAAGGUUGGAGUUCUCUACUCCAGUGAAGUCCAAUUUCAGGAACACUGCUCAAGUUUCUUUGACACCUCUACCAGUGAGACCUGUUGUGAAUGAGGAUAAGAAAACCCCUGAAGCAGCUAAGAUUACUCCCAGAGAUGAUAGAUUGUCCUCACUUAAGGCUUACAGAAAAUCUAAGGGGCUGUGUUUCACUUGUGGUGAAAGGUGGGGAAGGGACCACAAAUGUGCCUCAACAGUACAGUUACAUGUCAUGGAAGAGCUUUUAGAAGCUUUGCAAGAAGAUGAUGACCCAGUUGGUGAUGAUAUUGUGGCUGAAGCUGAGGGCACUCUUAUGGCAGUUUCAAGUCAGGCAAUAGCUGGAGUGGAAUCUUCAAAGUCUAUUAGGGUGAGAGGUUGGGUUCAGGGCUUGGAACUCUUAAUGCUUGUUGAUAGUGGAAGUACUCACUCCUUCAUUGAUGAGCAAGUGGCUAGAAAGCUGGCAGGAAUUCAGACCUUAUCACAUCCAGUGCAGAUUAAGAUUGCUGACGGUGGAACCAUGCAGUGUGAUAGAAGCAUACCUAACUGCAACUGGUGGAUACAAGGUUGCUCUUUCAGAACUGAAUUCAGAGUUCUACUGUCAAGGGCGUUGAUCCCUAGGGUAGCUGGCCCCUGGCUACGGAGUUCGUAGCCACGGUCCGUCUUCUCCGGCGAGGUUUGCCCCUCCGCCGCAGGCUUGAGAGUUACGAGAGAAGGGAAGAAUUGGGACAAUAACCAAAUUGCUUAAUUUCUGGAAUGUGCCGAUUACAGAGAUAUAUGGCCUAAGGCCCAACUAACCAAAGAGCUAAUUGCUCCUAAAUGCAAGGGCUAAUAACAGGAAACUAAUUAUCCUUUCCAUCCUAGCCACUGACCGUGGCCUGAUCUGCCGCAGCCGCGCGUUCUGCCUCUGCGCGCGCCGCGCGUUCCGCAGCUCGGCGAACGUCUCGCGCUCUGCGGCGUCGCACAUAUGUGCGCCCCCACAUGACAUCUCCCCCUCCGUCGAGAGGCAGCUCGUCCUCGAGCUGUAGAGCAGGGUAGCGGGCGAAGAAUGGCUCCCUGUCCUCCCAGGUAGCAGACGCCGCUGAAGUGCCCUUCCACUGGACCAGAACUUGGCGCACCCCACGGGCCAAGCGGGCUUUGAUGACUCGCUCGGGCUCACAGGCCACCGCGCCGUGGUGCACGUUCGGCAGCGGCGGGGGAGCGUCUGGAGGCGCGCCGUGCCACUUCUUGAGCAGCCCGAUGUGGAACACGUCGUGAAGGCGGGCGCCGGCCGGCAAUGCCAAGCGAGCAGCCACCUCGUUGAUCAUCUCCGCGAUGCGGUAGGGCCCGAAAUACCGCGGCUUCAGCUUGCCGGAGACUGCCAGCGACAGGGACGCUGGGGCGCGCUGGCGGAGACGCAGAAGGACCCAGUCCCCAACCUGAAACGACACUGCACGAUGGGACUUGUCGUAGUACUUCUUCUGGAUGGCCUGAGCUUGUUCCAGGCGGUAGCGAAUGUCCUCCAGGAACUCUGAGCGCUCCUCCAUGCUUUUGGCCACAGCUGCCACGCGGGUGUCCCCCGGUUCAUACGACCGGAUGGAGGGAGGGUCGCGGCCAUAGACCACCCGGAACGGGGUAUCCCGCAGCGAGGUCUGGUAGGCGGUGUUGAAGACAAAUUCCGCCCACGGGAGCCAGCGCAGCCACUGCCGGGGGCGAUCACCAGUAAGGCACCGCAGGUACAUGAUGAUGACACGGUUGGCUGCCUCCGACUGGCCGUCGGACUGAGGGUGGAAGGCCGUCGUCAUGUGGAGCUUCGUACCCACCAGACGCAUCAGCUCGCUCCAGAACGCGGACGUGAAGACCGGGUCGCGAUCCGACACCAUGGAUUGUGGAACGCCAUGGAGACGGACGAUCUCGGCGAAGAAGACUUGAGCGACGGAUUCCGCCGAGUAUGGGUGCGCCAAAGGGAUGAAGUGGCAGUACUUGCUGAAUCUGUCCACCACAGUCAGUAUGACGGACUUGCCGCGAACACGGGGCAGCGCUUCGACAAAGUCCAGUGCGACGUCAGUCCACACUCCUUGUGGCACCGGCAGUGGAAGGAGAAGACCGGCAGGCUGGAGGUGCUCGGCCUUGUAGCGCUGACAGACCUCGCAGGUCCGCACAAAAUCCUGCACAACGCUCUUCAUGUUAGGAAAGUGGAAAUCCCGGCGGAGUCGGUGGAGAGUGCGCUGGACGCCUUCAUGUCCCUCCUCAUGGACAGCGCGCAGGACCUCCUGGAGCAGGGGCGACGCUGGGGGCAGGUACAGGCGGCCAGCGAACAGGACCAUGCCGUCGGCCAUGGACCACGGCCCUGCGCGUGUGCCGGAGCGGAUCUCCGCCUGUAGCGCCACCAGCGCCGGGUCGACGUCCUGUGCUUGGCGAAGCCGCUCGAUGAAGUCGAACCGUGGCGCAGACAGCACCAAGACAGAAGCGUCCUCGGUGGUGUCGCGACGAGACAGCGCGUCCGCCACAGUAUUUGCUGCGCCCGGCUUGUACUCCACCGUGAAGUCGAAGCCCAGCAGUUUGCCCACCCAAUGGUGCUGGGGAAUGGUGGACAGCCGCUGAUCCAGAAGAUAUUUCAGGCUGUAGUGGUCGGUCUUGACGGUGAAGUGCCGGCCCCAAAGAUACGGCCUCCAAUGCCGGACGGCCAGCACCAAGCCGAUGAGCUCGCGCUCGUACGCAGCGAGGGCGCGGUGACGUGGCGCCACAGGACGGCUGAAGAAGGCGAGCGGAUGGCCGUCUUGAAUGAGGACCGCGCCAAAGCCGUGGGAGGAGGCGUCGCACUCCACGGUGAAGGCCUUGGUGAAGUCCGGCAUGGCGAGGAUCGGCGCCGAGGAGACCGCGGCUUUGAGGGCGUCGAACGCCGCCGUGGCUGCCUCGGUCCAGGCGAAUCCUUCCUUCUUGAGCAGGGCGGUGAGGGGCGCAGCGAUGGUGCCGUAGUUGUGGACGAAUUUGCGGUAGUACCCCGCCAAGCCGAGGAAGCCGCGCACCGCACGCGCCGAGCGUGGCUGAGGCCACUCCCGAAUGGCCUGGACCUUCGCCGGGUCCAUGGCAACACCAGCAGCCGAGAUAACGUGGCCAAGGUAUGCCACGGAGUCGACGCCAAAGGCACACUUGCUGCGCUUGAUGAAGAGUUUGUGCUCCCUGAGCACCGUCAGCACAGCCCGGAGGUGACGGAGAUGAUCAGCCCAUGUGUCACUGUAGAUCAAAAUAUCAUCAAAAAACACAAGGACAAAGCGGCGCAAGAAGGAGCGGAGCACAUCGUUCAUGAGGGCUUGGAAUGUCGCCGGGGCGUUGCAAAGCCCGAACGGCAUGACCAAGAACUCAUACAGCCCGUCGUGGGUGCGGAACGCCGUCUUGUGGAUAUCUUCGGGCCGCAUGCGCACUUGGUGAUAGCCGGACCGCAGGUCGAGCUUGGAGAAGAAGCGCGCGCCAUGGAGCUCGUCCAGAAGCUCGUCGACGACGGGGAUCGGAAAAGCGUCCUUGACGGUAAGCGCAUUUAGCGCUCUGUAGUCGACGCAGAAGCGCCACGAACUGUCCGCCUUCUUGACGAGGAGGACCGGCGACGAGAACGCCGAGUCGCUGCGGCGGACGAUGCCUUGGGAGAUCAUGGCGGCGCAUUGCCGCUCGAGCUCAUCUUUAUGAGCCGCCGGGUAACGGUAGGGCCGGACAGCCACCGGCGACGUGCCCUGCUUGAGGACGAUGGCGUGGUCACGGCCGCGCUGUGGAGGCAGGCCUGUGGGCUCGGUGAAGACGUCGGCGAAGGAGUCGAGGAGCCCCCCCAAUAGGGAGUCGUCUGCGCUGGCCGCGCGGACUGCCGGCCCGUCCUGGUUUGGCGCGCCCUGCCAGCAGAUGGUACGGCCCUCCAGGUCGAACGUCAGGGCGCGUGUGGUGACAUCCCAGGACAUCCGGCCCAGCUUGGCCAUCCACUGGGUGCCGAGGACGAUGUCAUAUCCGGCGAGAGGCAUGACGUACAAGUCGACGUGGAACGGCAUGCCCUCGAUGGUGAUGGGUGCGUGGCGGAGGACGCCUGGGCAGGCCACCUUUUCGCCGUUGGCGACCGUGGCCGUCAUCCGUGGCCGCGGCUGGACGGAUAGCCCGGUGCGAGCGGCCGCCGACUCGCCGAUGAAGUUGUGGGUCGACCCUGUAUCAACCAAGGCGACGAGCGUGGUCGCGCCCAGCUGAACCCGGAGCAGGAUCGGGUGUCCCACGGCGACGCCGGCCACGGCAUGGAGAGAAAACACCGGUGCCUCCGCGUCGACCUCGUCCUCCGGCGCUUCCUCGUCCUCGUCCUCCACGCUGUCCACAAAGAACAGACGUUUGCAAACCUUGUUGUGGCCGCGACUGUACUUUUCGUCGCAGUUGAAGCACAAGCCGAGGCGGCGACGUUCCUCCUGUUCGGCCUGGUUCAGGCGCCUGACCGGCCGGUUAUCAGCAGCGGUGGCGGCGGGCGGCGCGGGCUUGGCAGCCCCAGCUGGAGCCGGCAAGGCGAGUUGCGGCCGAGGCGCAGGUGCCGGCAGGACACCCCGACCAGGAGCUUUGGCGGGAACGGCGGUGUACUGCUCGAUCAGCUCGAACUGGCGGGCGAGGCUCAUGGCAGCCGCCAGCGACUGGGGAUUCUGCAUCUGGACUUGGAGGCUGAGCGGAGGAAGAAGGCCUCCGGUGAACAGCUGCACUCGCUGUUCUUCGUCGAGGCGACCGGCGCGGGGGAGCAGGGCCUGGAACCGGUCCUGGUAGUCCUCCACUGUACCCGUGCGGCGACAGGAGGACAGCUCGAACAGGGGAGCGGACCGCAGAGGUGGCCCGUAGCGGAGAUUGAGGAGCUCCUUGAAGCGAGUCCACGUCGGCGUGCCGCGCUCGUCUUCUUGGACCUGCAUGUACCAAAGUUGGGCGCCCUCGAGGAGGUUGUGGGAGGCCAUCCAAACCUUCUCCUCUUGCAUGAUUCGCUGUUGCAGGAAGAAGGAUUCGCAGCGGUUGAUGAAGAUUAGCGGGUCGCUCUUGCCGUCGUAGUGCGGGAAGUCGGGUCGCCAGUGCUUGGGCGGCCGGUCUGGCGGCUGAUCGCCAAAGCCGGGGCGGGCGCCGGACGUAGAUGAACUGGUGGUGGUGGCGAGCGCAGCGAUCGCCUUGGCGUUGGCCGCGAUGGAGGCGGCGUUGGCCUUGAUCGACUCGUGCAUCAGCGCCAUGUCCUUGGAGAGGGCCUCGAUGGAGGCCUUGAGGUCGUCACCCAUGUGGUGGGCCGAGCAGGACGCGACUGAGGGUGAGGACGCAGGGGAGGCGGCGGCAGCAGGUGGGAAAUUGGGCGGAGCGACAGCAGGGGCGGCGGCUGGAGUGGUGGUGGAGUCGUAGAUGGGAUCGGUGGUGGCUGGGGCAGAGGUGGAGUCGGCAACGGAAGACGAAGAUCGACGUGACCGCGAUACCAGGUUGUCAAGGGCGUUGAUCCCUAGGGUAGCUGGCCCCUGGCUACGGAGUUCGUAGCCACGGUCCGUCUUCUCCGGCGAGGUUUGCCCCUCCGCCGCAGGCUUGAGAGUUACGAGAGAAGGGAAGAAUUGGGACAAUAACCAAAUUGCUUAAUUUCUGGAAUGUGCCGAUUACAGAGAUAUAUGGCCUAAGGCCCAACUAACCAAAGAGCUAAUUGCUCCUAAAUGCAAGGGCUAAUAACAGGAAA